UACGGAGGAUGCGAGCGUUAUCCGGAUUUAUUGGGUUUAAAGGGUGCGUAGGCGGCUUUUAAGUCGGCGGUGAAAUUUUGCAGCUCAACUGUAAAAGUGCCAUUGAUACUGGUUUCCUUGAGUGUGGAUGAAGUAGGCGGAAUUUGUGGUGUAGCGGUGAAAUGCAUAGAUAUCACGAGGAACUCCGAUUGCGCAGGCAGCUUACUAAACCAUAACUGACGCUCAGGCACGAAGGCGUGGGGAUCAAACAGGAUUAGAUACCCGU
rnacentral:rRNA from 1 species